GGCAGGUAGCUGAGACGAUACUAAACAACAAGGUGUUGGAGUUCUAUAAAUGGGAAGGUCAGCUUUCCCAACUGUUGCAGAAUGUGAGGGACAAGUUGAAUAAAGCUACAGUAGGAUGGACGCGAGAAGAAAAGAAUCAUUGUUUGGAAGAAACUGAGAAAUCAUUCAAGCUUUCAGGCGAAGUUCUGCGUCUGAUAUUAGUGUUAUGAUAACAGUUCUAUUGCUUCAUAUUUGUGUAAUUAUUGUGUAAAUAAUGGCAAAAGCUUACGACAUUGUGUGACCUGCAUAUUAUGUUAUUUUAUUUUCAAUUCAUAAGGUUGCCUAUAUUGGUAAUUAUGCAUGUUGACAGCUCUGUUAAUGAGCAAGCAUUUUUUUAGACUUCUGGAUUA